GGGUUGUGAGGUUAAGCGACUAAGCGUACACGGUGGAUGCCCUGGCAGUCAGAGGCGAUGAAGGGCGUGCUAAUCUGCGAUAAGCGCCGGUAAGGUGAUAUGAACCGUUAUAACCGGCGAUACCCGAAUGGGGAAACCCAGUGUGACUCGUCACACUAUCAUUAACUGAAUCCAUAGGUUAAUGAGGCGAACCGGGGGAACUGAAACAUCUAAGUACCCCGAGGAAAAGAAAUCAACCGAGAUUCCCCCAGUAGCGGCGAGCGAACGGGGAGGAGCCCAGAGCCUGAAUCAGCAUGUGUGUUAGUGGAAGCGUCUGGAAAGGCGCGCGAUACAGGGUGACAGCCCCGUACACAAAAGCGCAUGUGCUGUGAGCUCGAUGAGUAGGGCGGGACACGUGGUAUCCUGUCUGAAUAUGGGGGGACCAUCCUCCAAGGCUAAAUACUCCUGACUGACCGAUAGUGAACCAGUACCGUGAGGGAAAGGCGAAAAGAACCCCGGCGAGGGGAGUGAAAAAGAACCUGAAACCGUGUACGUACAAGCAGUGGGAGCACCCUUUGGGGUGUGACUGCGUACCUUUUGUAUAAUGGGUCAGCGACUUAUAUUCUGUAGCAAGGUUAACCGAAUAGGGGAGCCGGAGGGAAACCGAGUCUUAAUUGGGCGUUAAGUUGCAGGGUAUAGACCCGAAACCCGGUGAUCUAGCCAUGGGCAGGUUGAAGGUUGGGUAACACUAACUGGAGGACCGAACCGACUAAUGUUGAAAAAUUAGCGGAUGACCUGUGGCUGGGGGUGAAAGGCCAAUCAAACCGGGAGAUAGCUGGUUCUCCCCGAAAGCUAUUUAGGUAGCGCCUCGUGAAUUCAUCUCCGGGGGUAGAGCACUGUUUCGGCUAGGGGGCCAUCCCGGCUUACCAACCCGAUGCAAACUGCGAAUACCGGAGAAUGUUAUCACGGGAGACACACGGCGGGUGCUAACGUCCGUCGUGAAGAGGGAAACAACCCAGACCGCCAGCUAAGGUCCCAAAGUCAUGGUUAAGUGGGAAACGAUGUGGGAAGGCCCAGACAGCCAGGAUGUUGGCUUAGAAGCAGCCAUCAUUUAAAGAAAGCGUAAUAGCUCACUGGUCGAGUCGGCCUGCGCGGAAGAUGUAACGGGGCUAAACCAUGCACCGAAGCUGCGGCAGCGAACGUAUCACCCAAGACAACUUUACGGAGUUGACGAUUGACGGAGCGAAGCGACGUCAAAGCGUUCAUUAAAGUCGAGUUGGCUUAGGGAUACGUUCGUUGGGUAGGGGAGCGUUCUGUAAGCCUGUGAAGGUGGCCUGUGAGGGUUGCUGGAGGUAUCAGAAGUGCGAAUGCUGACAUAAGUAACGAUAAAGCGGGUGAAAAGCCCGCUCGCCGGAAGACCAAGGGUUCCUGUCCAACGUUAAUCGGGGCAGGGUGAGUCGACCCCUAAGGCGAGGCCGAAAGGCGUAGUCGAUGGGAAACGGGUUAAUAUUCCCGUACUUGGUGUUACUGCGAAGGGGGGACGGAGAAGGCUAUGUUGGCCGGGCGACGGUUGUCCCGGUUUAAGCGUGUAGGUGUGUGUUCCAGGUAAAUCCGGUUCACUUUAACACUGAGGCGUGACGACGAGGCACUACGGUGCUGAAGCAACAAAUGCCCUGCUUCCAGGAAAAGCCUCUAAGCAUCAGGUAACAUCAAAUCGUACCCCAAACCGACACAGGUGGUCAGGUAGAGAAUACCAAGGCGCUUGAGAGAACUCGGGUGAAGGAACUAGGCAAAAUGGUGCCGUAACUUCGGGAGAAGGCACGCUGACACGUAGGUGAAGUGAUUUACUCAUGGAGCUGAAGUCAGUCGAAGAUACCAGCUGGCUGCAACUGUUUAUUAAAAACACAGCACUGUGCAAACACGAAAGUGGACGUAUACGGUGUGACGCCUGCCCGGUGCCGGAAGGUUAAUUGAUGGGGUCAGCGCAAGCGAAGCUCCUGAUCGAAGCCCCGGUAAACGGCGGCCGUAACUAUAACGGUCCUAAGGUAGCGAAAUUCCUUGUCGGGUAAGUUCCGACCUGCACGAAUGGCGUAAUGAUGGCCAGGCUGUCUCCACCCGAGACUCAGUGAAAUUGAACUCGCUGUGAAGAUGCAGUGUACCCGCGGCAAGACGGAAAGACCCCGUGAACCUUUACUAUAGCUUGACACUGAACAUUGAGCCUUGAUGUGUAGGAUAGGUGGGAGGCUUUGAAGUGUGGACGCCAGUCUGCAUGGAGCCGACCUUGAAAUACCACCCUUUAAUGUUUGAUGUUCUAACGUGGACCCGUAAUCCGGGUUGCGGACAGUGUCUGGUGGGUAGUUUGACUGGGGCGGUCUCCUCCUAAAGAGUAACGGAGGAGCACGAAGGUUGGCUAAUCCUGGUCGGACAUCAGGAGGUUAGUGCAAUGGCAUAAGCCAGCUUGACUGCGAGCGUGACGGCGCGAGCAGGUGCGAAAGCAGGUCAUAGUGAUCCGGUGGUUCUGAAUGGAAGGGCCAUCGCUCAACGGAUAAAAGGUACUCCGGGGAUAACAGGCUGAUACCGCCCAAGAGUUCAUAUCGACGGCGGUGUUUGGCACCUCGAUGUCGGCUCAUCACAUCCUGGGGCUGAAGUAGGUCCCAAGGGUAUGGCUGUUCGCCAUUUAAAGUGGUACGCGAGCUGGGUUUAGAACGUCGUGAGACAGUUCGGUCCCUAUCUGCCGUGGGCGCUGGAGAACUGAGGGGGGCUGCUCCUAGUACGAGAGGACCGGAGUGGACGCAUCACUGGUGUUCGGGUUGUCAUGCCAAUGGCACUGCCCGGUAGCUAAAUGCGGAAGAGAUAAGUGCUGAAAGCAUCUAAGCACGAAACUUGCCCCGAGAUGAGUUCUCCCUGAGACUUUAGGUCUCCUGAAGGAACGUUGAAGACGACGACGUUGAUAGGCCGGGUGUGUAAGCGCAGCGAUGCGUUGAGCUAACCGGUACUAAUGAACCGUGAGGCUUAACCUUACAACGCCGAAG
rnacentral:rRNA from 1 species